CAGUUCUGGAGAGCAAAUUGGACAAAUGAGGAGUGAUCUAAUGGUAUAAACCUGGGUAUGAUGAGAAGACUGUUUUUCAAUUGUUGUGUGUUCCUGUGCCUUCAGAGACAAGGAUAUUUCUUUCCUCUGGGUGUGAGAAAACACAAACUUGUACCAGGCAUAUCGUAGGUUGGGAGUUCCAUUCCCCUAUGUCAUUUGGAGGUCUUCCACUGAGAUGAUUGGAUGAAGAUUAAAAAAUACAGGUUCAGAUAGGUUAAAUAGCUGAUCCAAGAUCACACAGAGAAAUUGGGAUUUAAAUGCAGAAUCUACUCUUUUUCCACCUCCCGAAAUCUGAGUUCCCCUUGUCAGGAUCAUGAAGGCAGUGGAGCCUGGUGAUACUUGGCCUCCUUGGAUUACAUUUGAGGUACAAGGCCCAUUGCUGAAGGACAUUUGACCUCAAGAUCUCCACACUCCAUCAGAACUCAACUGUGUCUUGAGAACUUUAUAUUGGAUCAUUCUUGGAAGGAAUGGAACUUCCACAAAAAUAAGAAAUACUUGUAAACCACUUUAGAAUUUAAUAAUUGCAAAUAUCUACAUUAACUUUCACAAUAACUCCGCGAUGAAUUACUUCAGUGCAACAGACUUAAAAUAAAAACCUUAC